rnacentral:rRNA from 1 species
GGCUUGUCUCAAGACUAAGCCAUGCAUGUCCAAGUAUAAACGCCGUUAUACUGUGAAACUGCGAAUGGCUCAUUAAAUCAGUUAUAGUUUAUUUGAUGGUUCCUUGCUACUUGGAUAACCGUAGUAAUUCUAGAGCUAAUACAUGCAGAAAGUCCCGACUUCUGGAAGGGAUGUAUUUAUUAGAUCCAAAACCAGCGCGGGUCUCCUCGUGGGGCUCGGUUGCUCGGUGAUUCAUGAUAACUGCUCGAAUCGCACGGCCUCGUGCCGGCGAUGUUUCAUUCAAAUUUCUGCCCUAUCAACUUUCGAUGGUACGGUAGUGGCCUACCAUGGUUGCAACGGGUGACGGAGAAUUAGGGUUCGAUUCCGGAGAGGGAGCCUGAGAAACGGCUACCACAUCCAAGGAAGGCAGCAGGCGCGCAAAUUACCCAAUCCCGACUCGGGGAGGUAGUGACAAUAAAUAACAAUGCCGGGCUUUGUUAGUCUGGCAAUUGGAAUGAGUACAAUCUAAACCCCUUAACGAGGAACAAUUGGAGGGCAAGUCUGGUGCCAGCAGCCGCGGUAAUUCCAGCUCCAAUAGCGUAUAUUAAAGUUGUUGCAGUUAAAAAGCUCGUAGUUGGAUUUCGGGGCAGCCCGGCUGGUCCGUCGCAAGACGAGUACUGGUCGUGCGCCCUUCCUCUCGGAGGCCCCGACUGCUCUUCGUUGCAGUGGUCGGGGAGUUCGGGACGUUUACUUUGAAAAAAUUAGAGUGUUCAAGGCAGGCCGUCGCCUGAAUACAUUAGCAUGGAAUAAUGGAAGAGGACCUCGGUCCUAUUUUGUUGGUUUCCAGGGCCGAAGUAAUGAUUAAGAGGGACAGUUGGGGGCAUUCGUAUUUAAUUGUCAGAGGUGAAAUUCUCGGAUUUAUGAAAGACGAACAAGUGCGAAAGCAUUUGCCAAGGAUGUUUUCAUUAAUCAAGAACGAAAGUUGGGGGUUCGA